GAGAGAAAACGAGAAGAAUCCAUAGGACCAAAUACAGGCAAUUAUUUGUCCACAUUCCUGCAUUGAUAAUUUCUCCUCCCUCUUUAGGAAGAGCAAUUUUGGCCUUUUAUCGCUAAACCAAUGAGAAACAACAAAAUAGCCUCCAGUAUGGUGUUCACUUUGGGCCCUAAUGUCUCCAGAGGAUGAGAUGCCACAAACGUGUACAACAGGUUCACAUAUGAUGCUUCAGCAGUGAAUCUGAUAUUUGCACAAGCUCAUGGUUGUCAGGAUGUUCCAGUGGUAAGAGAAUGAAUGUCGGGGAAACAGACAUAUAGGAAUAAAUAGUUCCCAGCUUUA